rnacentral:rRNA from 1 species
GACGGAGGAUGCAAGUGUUAUCCGGAAUCACUGGGCGUAAAGCGUCUGUAGGUGGUCAAAUAAGUCAACUGUUAAAUCUUGAGGCUCAACCUCAAAAUCGCAGUCGAAACUAUUAGACUAGAGUAUAGUAGGGGUAAAGGGAAUUUUCAGUGGAGCGGUGAAAUGCGUAGAGAUUGGAAAGAACACCGAUGGCGAAGGCACUUUACUGGGCUAUUACUAACACUCAGAGACGAAAGCUAGGGUAGCAAAUGGG